GAUGAACGCUAGCGGCAGGCUUAAUACAUGCAAGUCGAGGGGCAGCGCAGUGUAGCAAUACAUGGGCGGCGACCGGCAAACGGGUGCGGAACACGUACGCAACCUUCCUUUAAGUGGGGGAUAGCCCAGGGAAACUUGGAUUAAUACCCCGUAAUAUUAUGAAGUGGCAUCACUUUAUACUUAUAGCUCCGGCGCUUAAAGAUGGGCGUGCGACUGAUUAGGUAGUUGGCGGGGUAACGGCCCACCAAGCCUGCGAUCAGUAACUGGUGUGAGAGCACGACCAGUCACACGGGCACUGAGACACGGGCCCGACUCCUACGGGAGGCAGCAGUAAGGAAUAUUGGUCAAUGGACGCAAGUCUGAACCAGCCAUGCCGCGUGGAGGAUGAAGGUCCUCUGGAUUGUAAACUUCUUUUAUUUGGGAAGAAACCCACUGUUUCUACGGUGGUUGACGGUACCAGAUGAAUAAGCACCGGCUAACUCCGUGCCAGCAGCCGCCGUAA
rnacentral:rRNA from 1 species